AAGCAAAAAAUCAGUUUAUUCUUUAUUUAAAUUUUAUAGCACAGUACUGCCCACUACUCAAAAAAGUAUUAGAAUAACAUCUAAAAACCCUUGAGACCCAGAGCUUACUCUUGGACUAUGAGAAAGUCACUACUCAGGCUAAAUUACUGCAUCAGUAAAAACAUAAACCUACUCUUUUUGCACUUCCUGACACUGAGUUCAUUAUUCUUUAACACCAUUCUGUGUUAAAGUUGCAUAAAAAGCACAGUUGGAGUGCUAUAAAUUCUUGAGAAGGCAGCAACGUGGAGGGUUAGACGAGAAUCCCGGGGCCACUCGGAGCAGAAAAGAAAAAGGAAAAAGGCAGAGCAGCCAGGAGCUUGUGCGAACUGUAACACAAGGAGUGCUGAGCCUCGUGAGAGCUUGACACACAUCUGAAAAGUAGGACAAAGUAUCCAGGAAAUAGUGCUGUAGCUUGCAUUUCCUAUUCUCUGGGUGUCUGUGAUAGAGACCAGGCUUACUAGAGCGAUUCAAACCACCGUGGAUCUCUAACAGAUGUACUGCUGCCUUAAGGAUUGAGCUGGCAUGAGCUGACAUUACCCCGAGAGCAGAGUAAAAGUCCUGAGAGCGGUCACUGCCCUGAGCCCCCAAGAGAGAGUGGGUGGUGGGAGAGAGUGCAAAAAGACAGCGCUCUCCUCACAGAUUUGUCCUCGCUGUUCUUCUGAAACAGGCAGUGCUCUUUUGAAAUGGUGCCAGUGGAGGCUGGCCCAAAUCUUUGCAGCUGAAACUUUUACAAGCUCGUGAGCAGAACGGGAGAGACACAGAGUAAGGUCUGUGCAAGGAGUUUGCAGCUCCUACCUCUUCCUUGGCCUGUCGAGAUAUAAAAAAAGCAAAGAGCCACGCUUUCUUUCUUUGACAAUGUAUAUAGUCUUCAAGAUUAUCAACAGAAAUGUUCUGGAUCGAAGACUGCAUUGGAAGAGAAAGGCUUCAAAGUAUGUGUAAGAAAUUAAUAAAAGAAAAAUGAAGACUCAGUGACGUCACUCAGGAAGCUGUCUUGGAUGUUGCCUGAGGAAAGAUGCAUUGUCUGUGGCAUUCUUGGCAGGGACACCCUCGAACAUUAAACCUCUACGCUCUAUUCAAGACUGGAAUAUGGGAUUAUCAAAGUGAUUUUCAUUUCUCGGUGAAGCUCCGUGUGCAACAUUAUUUUGAAUCUGUUUAUUUUCACAGAUUGGCCCGCACUGUUGCCUUUAUUUUUGCUUCAUAGCUCGAUGACACAGUUUGUUACUUCAGGAUGUAUUGUGGUAAACACCCGAGGCCACUCAUUUAGUUCGCUAUGUUGACAGUAAACAGGGCCUUCCACUCUCAGCUACAACAAAACUAAACCAAAAUCUGAAAGGCGAACUCUGCCUUUGCUGCUUUGCUCAAAAUCUGAAUAAAGACACAGGCAGGUGCAGAACAACUAAAGACGUCCUGAGCGACAAUGAAAAUGGGAACUGUGAGGCAUGUACUACCUGGGAAUGAUGCCAACUGCUGACAAAAGCCUUUAAUGCUCAGCUCCAAGAGAAGCCUUUAACUCAUUUGCUCUGAAAUGCUUCAGGAAUACUGAAGUCUUUCCCAACUGUAGAUAAAUCUGUCAAACCUUUUGGCUUUGUUACAACACAGCAUGUAAGUACUCACUUCUGAUUUCUUUGCCCAAGCUCACAUCUCUGUCUUCUUCUCUGCAUUUCUUAUUCCCUCCCAGCUGCAAAUCCUACAGUAAAGUGAGAUGUCUAUUUGAUGACACAUAAUCUUUGCUUCAUAUGGCUUUUCCCAUUUAGUGUGGGGAGCUUCAAUUCUAAGCCACAUGAAGUUUGUAUAUAUUGUGGAACCAUGUAAGUAAAAUUUAGUGACUAUGUGAUUUGUUUGCCUAGCUCCCUUUCUCCUACUGUCUCUCUCUCUCUUGGCAGUAAGGCAAAAGUGGGCAGGGAGAGAGGAGGGCAUGGCCCAAAAACUGCUCUCAAGCCCCAGCCCCUGUUCGAGUGGGGUUGCUUGCUGGUACACUACUCAGCCUUUCCCUCGUCUUGCAAGCAAAAGAGACGAUGUGGAAGUGUAUUGUUGACUCUUUUCUAAGCCGCCUUUAUUUUUCGUCUGCACCACCGCCUUAUUGUUUGUUGGUGAACGCUAUCCUGAUCUUGACAAAAAAACAAAAACAAACCCUCAGUCUGACUGACACAUUUUCUACUGCUACGUGAAAAACUAUCUGUCCUUAAGGUUGAGGUAGUAGAUUGAAUAGUUGUGGGGUUUACGUCCUCCUUUUGAGAUAACUAUACAAUCUACUGUCUUUCCUAAGGAAACAGGUUAAUCUGCGGAGAUGCCAAAUCUUAUAUGCACGAGAAGCUCCCUGGAUAAAGGAACGCAUCACUUAUGAAAAUACAAAUAAUCUACCCACACCUGUUUAAAGACAACUGCAGUCAAAAGAAAGACUGUCAUUUAAUUAUGUAAUCGAACAGUAGAACCUGUCUACCCUUUCUAAUUGGUGUAUACUGACCAAAGCCUUGUUAUUAAGGCUUUUCAUUUGGGUUUGAAGUUGAGCCUAGCAAGGUGAGGUAGUAGGUUGUAUAGUUUGUGGGAUGGACUCAAUCCUAUUCAGGUGAUAACUAUACAGCCUAUUACCUUCCUUGAGAGGUACAAUAAGUGCUUGGAAUGACAUUUCCUCACUGACCUAAGUGAUGAAGGAGCCACUCUGAUGCCAUCUUGUGGCAAAAAGACUAUCAUAGCUCCACAAAUGAUCUUAACUUUGGGACCUGUAUUGUAUUGUAACCUGCAUUGUAUAUAUCUGAUAUAGUAAUAACAGAUUUACAGAAUAAAAAACAGGCAUAUUUUCACUUGACAAGUUAAUUUUUAAAUGAGCUGCAAUAUAAUUCAAUGACAAAAUUUAUAGCUUAAAGAAUGCAUUUCAAUGAGCAAAUGUUAGCCAUCUAAUCUCCAGUAUCACUUCAGAUUUGUAAAACAAUUUCUUUGACAGAAUAUGUAAAUCCACAAGUAUUUACUAUCCAGUGUCACAUUAGGGAAUUUGUAUUACGUUGAUAUUAAUACUGUCAGAAAGAUCACAGUAAAAGUUUUACAUGAACAGAGUACUCAAUGACCCAUUGGGUUUCAAAAAUUUGCAUUUCGCAACUUAGUGGCAGAACUAUGCAACAUUAGGUUAGCAGAUGGGUAAACUGAAAAAAAAAAUUCUGUAUAAUAUCGCAACUAACCACAAAGUAACCAAAGAUACAAGACCUAUACAUAAAAAAGAAGAACUUGAAGCUCUGGUUCCCAUGUUUGCCUUCUAAGCUAUAAUUUUUUUCAAGUUCUUUAAAAUAUGUUUGCAAAGAUAUAAGGGAAGUUUGUAUAGAAUAGAUCUGUACUAUACACUCAAAGAGAAGAGUACUGCCAAGAAUAUCGAUACUGAGUUGAGUCAGAGUUGAGUCAUGAAUCAGUUGAGUCUGAUGAGUUUUAAUGUACAGUAAUUUACACAGUGAUACAUAUAAAAUAAUCGUACUGAUUGUCUGAAGUUGUUUUCAUUACAUUUAUUAUCCAAAAUCAGUAUUCGGGGUCUGCAUCUGAGGGCUAAGGGGAAGGUAGUCUGAGUUAUGUAUGUAUGUACCCCUCUGUUUUUUAAAUCCCUGUCUUUACUGGCUUGUAUUUUUUUAUAGAAACAUGUACAUGUCAAUGUAAAUGCCUGCCUAAAGGAAACCUUUCUAAAUAAACACAUUUGAAAACAAUAUCCAAAAUCAGUUACUAUAAUAAAAUUUAUAAUAAAAUUAAAA